rnacentral:rRNA from 1 species
UACAGAGGUCUCGAGCGUUGUUCGGAUUCAUUGGGCGUAAAGGGUGCGUAGGCGGCGCUGUAAGUCGGGUGUGAAAUCCUGAGGCUUAACCUCGGAACUGCAUUCGAUACUGCGGCGCUUGAGGACUGGAGAGGAGACUGGAAUUCAUGGUGUAGCAGUGAAAUGCGUAGAGAUCAUGAGGAAGACCAGUGGCGAAGGCGGGUCUCUGGACAGUUCCUGACACUGAGGCACGAAGGCCAGGGGAGCAAACGGG